GCCGGUGUUUUAUCCAAGCGUGCACCACCCGUUCCCAUUCCGAACACGGAAGUGAAAGCGUUUGGGCCCGAUGGUACUUGCCCGAACACGGCUGGGAGAGUAGGAUAUGCCGGCA
rnacentral:rRNA from 1 species